CCCCCCCCCCCGGACAGGCUGGCGCCCGGUGCUGCCGAAAGCCUGGCGGCCCCAGCGGCUGCCCUCGCCUCCCUGUGGCUGCGCUGCGUGGGCUUCGGGGAGUCUGGCACGGACCCUGCCCGGAGCCCGCAUGGAGCCGGUGACUGCCAAGGCCAUUCGCCCCCGGACCCAGGUCAGGAGCGAGUCUCGGCUCCCUGCCCUUUGUGGCUCCGCGGCAGAAAAAGAAACAGCGGUCAGAAACUAACAGAGGCCAGUGAGGUGCAUCUUUUUGAACAGCACAGAUAUUGUCAUAUUGAUGACAAAACUGAGCCAUGACGCGUUUAGGACUUGUCCAGGACCACAGCGGGAGGAAGUGACCAAGACUCAGCCUGAGGAAUAGUUAAUUGGAAGCCUCACCCGAGCAGAGGACUCAUUGCCCAGGACCCUCAAUUGGGACUCCAGUGCGGCUGUUCACCUCAGGGCUUCCCCCGCCAGAAGGUUGGAUGUUGU